ensembl:lncRNA novel transcript
GGCUAGAAAGAGAGAAGGAGACAGUGAAUUCCUCGGAAGCCGCUCGCCCUGCACCCAAGCGGGACUUGCACCACAAGCAGCCCCAGGAAAAAACUCUCCAUUUCUUUCUCGUGGAGGCUCCAGAAGAAAAGCUGCGCAUUUACCCGGCGCAUUCUAACCGCCUUUGAGGUUCCCUCCGGCAGCCAUGGGAGCCGUGGUGGGGCAAAGCCUGGGCUGGGAGACGCUGCAAGGCUCUGGGGAGCAGUGAGGCGCCGCGCCAGCUCCUCCGUUCCCGUCAUAGCCUCACACGGGCUUCGCUGGACACGUCCAGGACGCAGCGCCGGUGGGCACCAGGCGUUGAGCGCCUGCCCCGCGUCUGUGCUAAGACCUCCCUUUGCAUUAUUGCAUUUAUUCCAACGAUGGGGUGAGGACCCUGAAAUUGUCUGGGAUCCACACCAGUCGGAAGAAAAAAAGAAUAGAAAACGCAGGGAUUCACCUCCUCUGCAGGCACCCUCAUGCCGAACACUAAACAGGAUGAUGUUGAAAAGGAUUUGGAGAUUUAUGCAGGUCACGAGCUUGAGGAAUUUUUCCAUUGAAUGCACCAUGCCUUGGGUUUCCCGUUUCCCACUGAAAAUCCCAUGGCUGACACUUUUUUUAUAUCAUUACCUUGGGAGAUGAAGAAAAACUCAUCUGUUAGGGCAGCUCUGUGAAUGCAGAUGCUUUGGGUUGUUUUGAAUGAAUGACUGAAUGUUCUGAAAUAAAGCAGGAAGGUGCCUGCGGGAUAAUGACUGGUUUCGCAACUCUUGGCCGGGAGUCUAGACCCCUCUGAUAAUCAAUAGAAAUGGAUGUAUAUUAAAUUUAGCAAUAGAAAAAGUAUA